rnacentral:rRNA from 1 species
CCGGCGCACGGGUGCGUAACGCGUAUGAAAGGUGUCCAGAACACUGGGAUAGCCCCCGGAAACGGGGAUUAAUACCGGAUGGUCCAUUUGGUCGGCAUCGAUUGAUUGGUAAAGCUCAGGCGGUUCUGGGUCCUCAUGCGUAUGAUUAGCUAGUUGGCGGGGUAAAGGCCCACCAAGGCGACGAUCAUUAGGGGUCCUGAGAGGGAGGUCCCCCACACUGGUACUGAGACACGGGCCAG